GGCUAAAUUCACCAGUGCUUGAAACCAACCAUUUUUUAUUCCGAGAUACUUUUCUUAUGGCAUUCUUCCAUGGGCCAACGUCUGUUGAUUCUCAUAAAUGAUAAGCUGUUCUUGCCAUUAUCAUGUGAGAGUUAGACCAUUGACAAAUCCUUUCAUACCUUGAAAUGGUAAGACAUAUAGUUGGAUCUUGCUAAUCAUUUAGAUAGAAAUCAAUCUCUGACUAAUUCAAAUGUACAAAAUAUAGUAUAGUACCUUGUUAGUGUAGCUGGUUGCAAUUUGUUCUUGGAACAUCUUUCGAUUGAUCUUUCUAGAUGCAUUUGGGAAUCAGGACUUCUUUUUGGUACUUUUCUUGGACACCAUACAUGAAAGGAAGUCAUUUUCUUUGAUGGAAUGAUAUUUAUGAAACCAUCACAUGAUCCUUCUCCAACUGUACUUUACACUCUGAUAAGUAAUAAAGCCACCACAAAUUUACUGUAUGGUUGGCAUGUAUCCUUAAAGGAAUACCUAUGUGCGAACUUAUGGCAAGUGAUACUGGCAAUUGCUGAUCUGAGAAGCUUUAAUCCAGGUAUCACUUGAGAAUACAAAGAUGCUAAGGCAUCUGUUGAAAAUGCUAUAACUUCUUUUAUGUUCUGGUUGCUAAAGAAUCAUGCUUUCCUUUAGUACUGCAUCCUUGGACAUUAUUUAUUGAAGAAUCUUUAUUCCGAACUCACCUCUUCAUAAAUAAUCAUGUCAAGUGAAGUAGUGAAAUGUGGUAUUUGAUUCCGGUGUUUAGUUCAUUCUUUUAAUUGCUCUAUAGCAAGAUUACCACUUCAUGCAAGUAAUCGCGAAACAAAAAAUAUCUCUUUCAUCUCUGGUGAUAUUUAUUAAUUGUGGUAAUUGCAGAAGCACAUCCAAUGCUGCAAUAAUUGUUCUUUAGGUAGAAUAUGCUACCACCUAUUGCAGGAGAGAAGUCUUGAAAAUGAUAAAUUCUCAUUCACUAUAUACUUGAGCCAUCUGAUUUAUGCACCUCUAUAUAUUGCUGGACCAAUUAUUAGCUUCAACGCAUUUGCUUCAUAGCUUGAUACUCCCCAGAAGACGCACUCAUUGAAAGAAGUGGUUUGGUAUGGACUUCGUUGGAUUGUUAGCCUGAUGCUUAUGGAAUCAAUGACACAUUUCUUUUAUUACAAU